AGCAGCCGCGGUAAUUCCAGCUCCAAUAGCGUAUAUUAAAGUUGUUGCAGUUAAAAAGCUCGUAGUUGAAUUUCGGGAUCAGUACGCUGGUCAUGCCUUUGGUAUGCACUGGUGUCACUGGUUUCUCCCUUCUGAAGAUCCGUGAUGUCAUUAAUUUGGUGUCGCGGGGAAUCAGGACUGUUACUUUGAAAAAAUUAGAGUGUUUAAAGCAGGCUCACGCUUGAAUACAUUAGCAUGGAAUAAUGAAAUAGGACGUUUGACCCUAUUUUGUUGGCUUCUAGGAUCGACGUAAUGAUUAAUAGGGAUAGUUGGGGGCAUUAGUAUUCAAUUGUCAGAGGUGAAAUUCUUGGAUUUAUUGAAGACUAACUACUGCGAAAGCAUUUGCCAAGGAUGUUUUCAUUAAUCAAGAACGAAAGUUAGGGGAUCGAAGACGAUCAGAUACCGUCGUAGUCUUAACCAUAAACCAUGCCGACUAGGGAUCGGAUGAUGUUAAUUUUAUAAUGACUCAUUCGGCGCCUUA
rnacentral:misc_RNA from 1 species